GUGGGCGUAGUAUAGGUGGUUAGUACGCCGUGUUGUGGUAUAUAGAAAUCUAUAACCGCGGCGACCUGAGUUCGAGUCUCGGCGCCCACA